rnacentral:rRNA from 1 species
UACAGAGGGUGCAAGCGUUGUUCGGAAUUACUGGGCGUAAAGGGCUCGUAGGCGGCCAACUAAGUCGGAUGUGAAAUCCCCAGGCUUAACCUGGGAACUGCAUCCGAUACUGGAUGGCUUGAAUCCGGGAGAGGGAUGCGGAAUUCCAGGUGUAGCGGUGAAAUGCGUAGAUAUCUGGAGGAACACCGGUGGCGAAGGCGGCAUCCUGGACCGACACUGACGCUGAGGAGCGAAAGCCAGGGGAGCAAACGGG